GUUAACACCCCGCUGCGGGUUGUUCCUGGCCUCCCUGCUCUGUUCGGGCUACCUCUUGUGUCUCAGUUUACACUUUACAAGAAACAUCGUCCCCAUCACCUGGUACACCUUCAGUGAGGUCCUCCGCUUCUGCCUCCUCUGUCACCUGGCCGAUUCUCUCCGUCAGGCGCACCUGGCCCUGGAGGACGCCGUAUGGUCGCUUCACCAACACCUAGGCACCACCCAUCAACACUAUCCACUCCUGACUGCCCUUAUCACACGUCUCAACGCGCGACCUGCCCACAUCACCGUCUUGGGCGUGGGCGUACUCGGUAAACAGCUCCUGGUAUCUCUCGUCAACACUGCCCUCACCUACACCGCGAUUCUCUAUCAGUACCGACCAGACAAUUUGCCUUCUGUGGUGGAUCUCCUACAGAACAUAACCAACCGCAGAUACGAUAAUUUUUAGCUUUAUGAACGAUAUUUUCUUGUUGGCUGCCUGACUGCCUGACUGCCUGACUCACUGACUCACUGAUAGAAUUCUCUCUUCCCUAAGUUUCCCCUUGCGCUCCCACGGCACUACCUGCAGACAUACAUAAGAAAUUGUGAUGAUAGUGAGAGUCCCAUUUUAGGUUUAUUAUGUAAAUCAACGUUAUUAUAAAGUGUAGUAGUGUUUUUUUAAUGCACCUGGAUUUUAUUUGUGUUAAUGGUAUAUCUUGAGGUAAUAAGAGAUGAGGAGAGGAAGAGGAACAAGAGGAGGUGACAUACAGACUGACACUAUAACAGACGACAAAACAAAAUACUGUUUUCACUCUUACUGUAACUAUAAUUUUAAGUCGUAACCUAUAAUUACAUUGACACUUUUGUUGUUAUUGUACAUAUAUCAUAAUUACCAUACCUGUACUUAAAAUGUAACUAUAUGUAGAUUACUGUACGAAAAGAGAGAUGUACUCCCUAAACAUUAUGUAACUGUUCCUCACCACAUAGGCUAACAUACGUGUCUGAAUAUAAUGUGUUAUUGA